rnacentral:snoRNA from 1 species
GUUGGCCAGUGAUGAUAAAAGUUAUCCCUGUCUUAAUGUAAAUGUGUGGAGAUACGGUAACCUGAGGCCAAU